UCAAUUACUGUGACUGACAGGUGAAUGGAGU
rnacentral:piRNA from 1 species